UCAUGGCUGAGGCCUCUGUGGAACGAAAGGAGGAAUGAAAUGGGUGACCUUUCCAACCAUUGACAACCAAUGUUUACUGAGCCGGUAAUUGGAGCACCUAUGCUAUGCCUACCAGUGCUUUUGAAAGCUCGAGGCUGAAACCGUCUCAUUGCUGGUAAGAGCACGUGGCAGUGACAUGCCUGGACCCAUGUGACCGCAGCCUGGCACCUCAUUUUUAGGAUCGAAAUUCACAAUAAUUCUGGAAAAAAAAGAAAAAAACCCCCACCACCUACCUCUUCUGAGGAAAUAGAGCACAGCACAGCGGGGUCGCGAACACCAAACUUAAAAAACGAAACAGAACGACAGGCGUGCAUCACCAGGUCUGGAUCUAGGGUUUUAUAUACAGUAUCUACUUUUUUGUGUUGUUACUUUGGGAAUUCAUGCUGUUGCUGCAUCAGUAAAUCAUUGUUUUUCAUUGACAAGGGAAAUAUUUAGAAAUGGCUGGAUUGCACUGCAGCAUAUGUUUGUAUAAAUGGCUCACAUGUUUUCCAAAGUGGCUGUACCAUUUUACAUGUCCACCAGCAGGUCAUGAGAGUUCCAGUUCCUACACAGACUCAUCAACA